rnacentral:rRNA from 1 species
AUUGAACGCUGGCGGCAGGCCUAACACAUGCAAGUCGAGCGGUAGCACAGGGAGCUUGCUCCUGGGUGACGAGCGGCGGACGGGUGAGUAAUGUCUGGGAAACUGCCUGAUGGAGGGGGAUAACUACUGGAAACGGUAGCUAAUACCGCAUAACGUCGCAAGACCAAAGAGGGGGACCUUCGGGCCUCUUGCCAUCAGAUGUGCCCAGAUGGGAGUAGCUAGUAGGUGGGGUAAUGGCUCACCUAGGCGACGAUCCCUAGCUGGUCUGAGAGGAUGACCAGCCACCCUGGAACUGAGACACGGUCCAGACUCCUACGGGAGGCAGCAGUGGUGAAUAUUGCACAAUGGGCGCAAGCCUGAUGCAGCCAUGCCGCGUGUAUGAAGAAGGCCUUCGGGUUGUAAAGUACUUUCAGCGGGGAGGAAGGUGUUGAGGUUAAUAACCUCAGCAAUUGACGUUACCCGCAGAAGAAGCACCGGCUAACUCCGUGCCAGCCGCCGCGGUAA